rnacentral:ncRNA from 1 species
ACCUGCGCCGCCAUCUCACGAUCGCUCAGGCCACCACAAAUCUGAAUCAAACGGUCAGAGAGCGUUGAUUUACCGUGGUCAAUGUGGGCGAUGAUGGAGAAAUUUCUUAUGUGCUUCAUUUAUAUGAAUAUCUUCACGUAGAACAUCAGUGGAAAACGUGAGCACAGACACAUUCAGGAAAGUGAACUUUCAACGGAACCCUGUCGGCCUCAUUAAUGACGACGCAUAUUACACUGUUAACGCCGCGCGUUAAAGAAUGGAACUGUGGGGAAUCGCAACAGAUUUCAGCGGUUAAGCCAGGAGGAGAAGGCCGCAUUAUGUGCGGCCCGAACGGGGAUUAACUUUCGUUUUCUACCCGCAGCGCGUCCGGCGGUAGCGCCACGCUCAAAAUCACCGGCUGAAAAGCUUCACGAUCGCCAUAACGGCUGGAAACACCUUUAGCGAUAAUAAAGCCGCCCACGCCGCCCAGCAGCGCGCCACUGGCGGCAGCGAGAUCGCUGUGGAACAGCAUCUGGAACAGGCCAGCCACCAGGAACAGCCCAAACAGCGGCGUCAUGUACACCAGCAGUGCGGAGCCCAGUAGGCUGCUUUCACGAAUACCCAGCUCGAUACGCUGACCCGGCUGCAGGGGCUCCGGGCUGGCAAUCGUCAUCACGUGGGCGUUUUUGGGCCCCAGCUUAUUCAGGGCGUGGCUGCCGCAGCCUUUACGCGCUGAGCAACUGUUACAGGAGGUUUUCGCCUCGGAAUGCAGCGUCGCGACGCCCUCUUUCCAUGCCACUACGGUGGCCCACUCUCUCAUCAUUUUGCUGAAUCCGAAUUUAUGCUGUCCGCGAUACGU